UGUGGAGAUGGCAGGACCUCGUGGUUGAGACUGCUUGCUUUGCAGUAGGCUCUAGUUUUGAAAACAAUUUCCACCACUUGCUAAAUCUGUGGCCUUGGGGCAAGUUUCUCAACCUUUCUAAACCUCAAUUACUUCAUUUUGGACCAGGAAAUUUGUCUUUUUUACCAAAGUUAUGGAUAAAAAAAAAGAUAAUGCAUAUAAGCCCCUUACCACCAAGCCUAGCACAGAGCCUCGCACAUGCAACAGUGACACUAAUGAUGUAAACAAUAAUAAUCGUUAUUAAACUAACCAUAGAUUUUUGUUGUUUGCAGCUAAGAACUCUGACUGAUAACAGUUAAUGUUCCUAGUUGGAGGGACAGAGCAAUUUUCCAGAAGGACAGGCCACUUUGGCCGGAUGGGUGGUUCCCCCUGGCCCAGGACAGUGCUGUCCAAGAACGUACCCUCCCUUCUUCUGGGGUGAGCGUGUUCCUCCUCUGGAUCCCAGCUCCUGGAGUAACCUGAGAAGGGCAAGGCCUGGUCAAGGCUUUUCUGAAUCCCAGGGCAGUGGACCCCAAGCCAAUGGCAGAAGACAGAGCCUGCAGCAGCACAGGAAAACAUUUGCUCCUCCAAGACAGGGUUUCCUAAUCAUCCAGCCUUCAGAAGCCAGUAUGAAAUUGACAUGACUUCCUCAAAACAGUUCAACAGAGAACAUCUUAGUCCUAAAGCCUAGAUUUCUCAGGGACAUCUGAGCAGUCAAGUGUCCACUCCUGCCACUCUCCCAGCCCCAGAUGCUGGACACACAUUCCAAUGAAGGGGACCCUGCAAGGGGACCAGGGUCAUUAAGCAGGUCAGGGAGUCUGACUCCUUUGAGAGUCUAGAAGUUCUGGGCAUUAAAACCCAAAGACAUUGUACAAGGACAUAGGCUUGACCCACUGUGUGAAAGGACAAAGUAUAGGAAAAUCGGGUAUGUUCUAGUGUCUUUUGAGUGCUUAUUGUGGGACAGGCUUUGGCUCAACACUUCAUGUACAUUGUUUUGUUUGACCUUGAGCCCUGUGAGAUAGAUCUUACGAUCCUCAUUCUACAGAGGAGGAAGUUGCGAUAGAGAGCUAAAGUGACCUGUCCAAGGUUAUACAGCUAGAAAAACUAGGACUGAGCCCAACACUGUUUACUAUUACACUAAUGUCUCCCCUACUGACAAUAAGAAGUAAAGUUGAGGAAGUUCACUAAGCAGUAGUGGACAUCACUCUGGACCUAAGGACUAAAUAUACAGCUAUAAAUCCUAGUUCUUCCAAGUAUUAGCUUGGUGACCUUGGCCAAGUCAUUUGACUUCUUUAAGAGACAUAGACUGAGCUAUAAAGAGGAACACCUCUACCUCUUGCGUAAAGGGAUAAUGUACAUGAGGUGUUUAGCAUCGAUGCCUGACAUAUAAUUAGUUCUUAGUAAAUAUUAGUUACUAUUAUUGUUAUCACUAUGACUACUACCACCAUCAUCCCACCAGGCUCAAGUGAGAUAAAGACUGGAAAGCUCUGUGUGUUCUGCACCUGUCAGUAAUCCCCUUUAUUACAAUUAUAGCAACCUAAGGGAAGGAGUUAUUUGUGAAGCUCUGGCCCCAUUCCUCCCCCAAAUGGUUCAAAUUCUUUGCUCUACAGCCAACACUGAUGACGAGCGAGGAUUUGAC